rnacentral:lncRNA from 12 species
GCCCAGGAGCGGGCUGCGCGCGCGUGGACUGCGUGGCUCCCUGACCCGCUGCAGGUUCCCUGCAGAUCCUCCGGCAGGAUGUGAGCCUCGCGGCGCCCGAGGAAUGGCCGUGUUUGCAGCGCCGGCCUCAGCCCAGGUAGGAAGGGGGGCAAACCCGGGGAAACGUGCCUCUGAGACGUCCACACAGGAGCCGGUGAGCAGCGGGUGAGGACACCUGUCCCUGUGCCCUGUCCCCAGGAGCCCAACCCAGCCUGGCCUCCCUCCUGACGCCUCCUCCUCCUGCUCCGUCCGCGGCCACCACCGAAGCAGGUGCCCGUCCCGUCCACCUCGUCCUCCAAGGAGAGUCUGCUGACAGCGACAGUGCAGCUGGUGGUGACAGUCGUCGAGUAUUCAGACACGGAACGCUGUCUUCGGGCACAUGUUUUAGUGUUGGAAUCACCUUCUUCAUUUAACCAAAAAAUACUUCCUGUAUCGAAGCCCUCGGGAAAAGGCGCUGAGCGACUCUGGGGCCCGAAGCUCUGUCCUGCACCAGAGCUGACCCCCCCCACCCCGGGUGCACCCAAAUCCUGAGUCACGGGUCUCACCACUCAGUGAGUGAGGAAGGGCAACGGGAGUGGGACACCGGGCGCUAAACAGAAGCUUGGGUGUUUGGGGUCACUCGGGGAUCCAGGCCGGAAGAAGAAUCCAAGAGUUGGAGCCGACCCUGGGUGCAGACCCUUGGGGCUGGCGUCUUCCUCCGAAGCGUCCUCCCCGGACGGGUCUCGGGCCCAGGAAUGCUCUCCUCUCGCCGUGAGCUCUCCCUACGGUGAGUGCGGGUCCGGGCCCCACAGCCACUGGCCCCGAGGGUCAUAGCCAGGGAGCCGAGGAAGCCGGGUGGCGUUUGCAGAACACCCAGAUGGCAGAGCUGUGUCCUCGGGACACACUAGUUCGGAAUCGGGACCAGACGCGUCUGCAUCUACGAGGAAGAACAGGGUGGAUUAUCGUGGAGACCUGACGUUUAUUUCCAGUGAUUUUCUGCAUCCAUGGAGCGGACGGUCCCGCGACGUGGGGAGCAAUGCGUUCUCGGUCUGGAAGGUGUCAAGGAGGAUCCCGUGUCCCAUUAAAGAAUGUGAGUUGCUCAUAUUUACUCAUGUUUACUACAAAGAUAUCAGGUGCGUGCGACUGGGAAGGUAUCCUACAGGAAGAUCUCACGGGGCCCCCUCUGCCUGUGUCUCUGCCUCUCUCCCUCUCUCUCUCUGUCUCUCAUGAAUAAAUAAAUAAAAUCCUUUAAAAAAGAAAAGAAGAUCUUACU